UUUUAGCCCUGAUGGAAGCGACAUCCUUUUUUGUUCUCGAUUUAACCAAAACUUACAAAAAAGAUACAGCGCACAGCAGGAAUUAGC
rnacentral:sRNA from 2 species